CACUCCACUCUACUGUUAUCAUUAUCCAUUUAGGGCCUUUGAUGUCUGAAACUGGAGGAGACUGCUAUUUUCUGCAUUUAUCCCAUACAGUUGCAUACAUUUCUAACAUCACUAACAUAAUGAGCUGCCGCUGUGAGCUCAGUCUUGAAUCCUCCAGUUCUUGGUACGCUCUGUUCUGGAUGAACCCAUGAACCUUGUCUUAACAUCUGAUCCGGUUUCACUGUGAUGGUGUAUUGAAAACUGUGGGCUUGUUCCAAGGCAGCAUGCAGUCACUGAACAGGGGUAAACGGAGCCCCCCACCACCAACAAUGAUCCUUCAGCAUGAUCAGAGGAGAGCCAGCACUGUCAUUAUGGAAGGACCACGUGGCCAUUAGAUGAAUAGUGAUAUCAGCAUUAAUAAACCGCAUGCGGAAGGUAGACUGGCAGACGCCCAUUGCUUGGACUGGCGGGGUGAGAGAUGGGGGCCAGGGAGAGUGUUUAAUAGUGUAUAAGUGAGUUUGAGAGUUUUGAAAGGAGAGUUUUCAAUGAUUUUCUGCAUAGGUGCAUAGCCAGAGACUAAUAGAUUUUCUGUCUCCCUUUCCCAUGUCUUAAAUCUCUCUCUGCUCACUCUCCUGUGUUGAUUCUGCAUUUUUGUGCUCUAGGUGGUUUUUAGGCGAAUAUGCAGUCAAAUUCCUAAUGCUCCCUCAUAAACCAAACUGGAAUUGCUUGCAUCAUAUGGUUCUGCAGGCUGUUCUGACACUGCUCAGCUUCAGAAUGACGAAUGAUGAUGUUGAUGUUGUUGAAAGAGCCACUGAUGGACAGUAAUAGGAGAUGUGAGAGGACAAGAAUUUGAUUGUCAAGUGGACUGGGACUGACGAAUGGAGGGUAAGAGAGGGAGUAGCAGAAGAAUAGAUAAGAGACGGGUGGGGGCAUGUGAUAAAAAUGAUUUUAUAGAGAUGAGAAAAGAAAGGGAGGGAGGCUGGUGUAUGCUGGCACUAGAAGAGAGAGGAAAGUAUAAUAAAAUGAGAGAUAGACUGACAGGGAGGUGGAGGAGGAAAGAGGGAUGUAUGAAUGAGGAGAGACGGCUCAACAAGAGUUUGUUGUGAUGAGGUCAUACUUGGACUUGGUGCCAUGCAGAGAGGUAUAAACCAACACAAAUAAUGAACUUCAAAGUGCUCUCUGACACGGAUGGCCCUUUCCUCUGUCCCCUAUAUCAGGGGUCACAUUGUGCGAUGAGGUAAGGUUUGCGGGCAUUAAGGGCACCAGCUAUAAAGAAUCCAAAUCUUAACACAUGUCUCAAGGAAAUGACGAUUCUACACAUUUUCUUGAUUUCCUGGCUAGCUUUUGUUGUUGACUUAACUGUGGUGAAAGCACCACACCCAGGAGAAAUGAGAGCAUUUAAAAGACCAUUAGUAGGCUGGUCAUUUACAACAUUGCCAUUAACAGCUUAGCCAGCGGUAGGUCUGACCUUUUCUUGUCAAUCAUACCACUAAUCCCUGAGUAGGCACAAAUUACUAAGGACAAAGUGGUGGUCUUUUCACUGUGGCCAGAGAAUGUUUGUAUGUCUGUGGCUCUUGCGGUGCCUCCAUUCCUGCGUGGACUGUUGAUCUUGGACAGGUCUGGACAUUAUUUCAGGCCUAGCUGUCCAAACCCAGUGCCAUUACAUUUCAGUGCUAGCUGUCUUGAUGGUUAGGGUCCCGGGUCUGCUGCCAAGCUCUGGGAAGCCAAACUAGUGGUGAGGUGGAGGUUUCUGUCCUCUCCAGAAACACAGCCAGUGGUCAGUCGGUCACCAGGUCAGCCUGCCCUGUGUCAUCGUCUGGUUGGCAGCAUGGCACACUGUUGAGGCCUGUGGCCCAGUCCUAAUUGGCAGUUUGUCUAUGUGUGGCUUGUUUUUGGCCAACAUAAAGACAUGUUGCAGUCUGUUUUUAAGUCCUGGGGAAAUCCUGACAGCUUGUAAUGGUUUUUGGAAUUUCCAGUGUAUCUUUGUGGACGUAACUAUCUAUUGCAGUCUCAUUUAUUGAGCUGUGUGAUGAUUGGUGUGGGUGAUUAGACAUUUAGCACUCUGACCUGAUUGUUCACUAUGUUGGUAGUUGGUUCAAUGGACAACAUCCUUAUUUAUCCACUCUGUUCUGUUGACUAACAACAAAUAUUCAACAUAAUAUAUAAUCCUCCUUCCGUCAUUUUUAUCAAUACCCCUAUCAACAGGGUUAUGUUUUUGGUACAUAAAAUAAAUGGGUUAAAGGGAGACAUAUGUUCUAAAGCUUGGUAAAUAUGAGCGUUUUAAUGUAGCCAUAUAAACAAAAAUGUUUGAGAUUAUAGGGGAGUAAAGUUCCUUUGGAAGUCAGCAGAAUUGAGAAUCGGGGUGUUGGUUGUGCGUUCAGAUUGUAAGGGUGACCGGGUUAAAGAGCUGUCCUAAUGAGGUGUGUAAAGACAGCUAAUCUAAAGUUUACACAACUCUGUCCAAAGCAGGCUCACAUUGAUUACAUGCCUGUUGCUGACACAUCGAGGGCCCCAGGGCCUCGUUGUGGCGUCUCACAAAUGUACAUACAGUAUGUACACACACACACACACACACAUAGACACAUACACACACUCUGCACAGCACAUAUGUACUAUCUCUCACACGCUUAUAAUCAGUGUUUGCUUGACAGAGAAAGAAGUGGGGCCAUUGCCCGCACAGCAGGAUAAACAAAACACUUGGAAAAAUGUGUGACACAAGUAGUCACCCCCCGGACCUUAAGUGUGUCCGGCAGGCGCCAACCCAGACUCACAAAGUCACAUAUUGCAUACACACACUACACUAAGUUGCGUUAAGUAAUAUGUCUAAAAUGCUGAGAUAGAAUAUUCUCACUCUGUUUGUCUUUCUUUCGUGUCUCAUCCGAAUAGACACAUUCACUUCGCCAUCAAGCUGACUGACUGUGAGAUCUACGUUAUCUGUGCUUUCAGCCAUGCAAAGUGCCUCCAAAUCAUUAGGUGGGGGUGACAGUGCUAGCCUGACAGCCUCCACCCAUUACCCCCAAGCCUUCUGCCUUCUCCACUGUCUCUACCUUUUACAGUACACACUUUCAUAUCUUGUCUCACUGUCAGAGCCACUUUGCUCUGCUCUUCACCAGGCUUUCUGCUCCUUAGCCUGACUUGCACUAAUGUUCCAUUCAGAGUGGAGGGGAGACAGAUAUCACUACUCUCACUUUCUUGUGUCAUAAUACGGGAUUUCGUUUUUCCCCCCAGAUCUGCUGCACUUUUUCCUUAUUUCAAUAACAAUAAUAAAGAUAAUGUCCUUUAUAAUCUUGGGGAAUUCCUCUUGUUGCUUUCUUUACCGUGGAGGUCAAAAUUCACGGUCAGUUACAAAGAUUCAGUGUCCUCCUUUGAGCUAGUCGGAUGCGUGCUAACACAAGGGCUUGAACCCAGGUCUUCUGGUCAAAGAGCAGUCUUCUUACUACACCACCGUUUUGGCCUUUUUCUUUUCAAACGUAAGCCCUAUUUUGGAUUUGCAACAUUGGGUCACAGGAAGUGGUCAUAACCUGAUGGCCUGUCUUUGACCAGCGUCCGGUGUUAAGCAAGUGUUUUGAAUGUUCAAGAUGGAUGGGAAGAGAGAGGAGCGUGGCGAGAUGUCAGGGCCUCUAGCCCGGGUUCUGACCCUCUCAGUCCCCGAUCGACCCUCACCACUCCUCUUUCCCCCCGACCCUUGAACCCUCGACCCCGAGGAGCUGCGACCUCAGAGCGGCGUGUCACUGAACGUCCGGUGGGCCUGACUGGAACUGGGUCUGGAGCUACUCAAAAUGAGAAGGGGGGGAGCUGGCAUCGAUGAAGGACAGAGUGAGUGAAGAAGAAAUGAAAGUUGUUUAUGUGAGGAGCGGAUGUUUGGAUUGCCUUGAGUAAGAGAGAGAGAUAGGGUCUCUGCUCUGUAUUACUGUUGAGGUUAAUAGACCAUCUUAAAGCUGCAUGCUGCUAUCCGUUUUGGUCUGUAAAAUGUUCACUACUUAAUAGCUUCACAAGGGGACAGUGGUGCUUUAGACCAGUGUCACACAAUUGAGUGUAGUGACUGUUGUGUAAGUGGGCUGUCGCACUGAUAAAAACCAUGAAGGAGGCACAUGGUGCUCAGAGAGACAAUGCUGAAGACAGCUUAAGUUAUUAAGGAAACAUCGGACGUUUGAAUAUUUUGCCUUUCAUCUCAUCAGGACGCAUUAAUUCUUCAUGGACCAAAAUUAUGGUCAUGUGGAAGUUGCAUAACAUGUUUACAUCUUUUAAAACCCAUUUGCCCACAUGGUGAGACUUAACAUACUGCUGAUUUAUUUAGUUUAAAAGUUUGUAUCAAGCAUUCUUCAAUUAUGUGACUCAGCAGUUUUUAGAGAAGGGGGAAAGACACAGUGGUUAGGGCAUUACUGAGCAGGGAAAUGAGGAUAAUAAAUAAAACAUGAAUCCACAGUGUGGUUUGAAAAUGUAAAAAAAAAAAAAUUAAUAUAAAAAUAUCUUUCUGCAGAGGUGGGGGGAGGAAGUGAGCGCGAUGGAGCCUCUGGGCUGUUUAUACCCAGCUCUCUUCUUUCCUCUGGCUUGCUUUUCAGGUAGAGUCUGCGCAAGUUAGAUGACAUGAAUAUUUGGGACAUUCUCUUACUGUAUAUCUACCUAAAGCCACAUCACUAGCUUACUUGAAUUCUCCCAUUGGUGGGUCUUUGAUGGGACCAUAGGCGAUGAUGAGCAGAAAAGUUGCAAAGCUUUUAACACGUUUUUGAUCACAUCCAAUCCAUAAAUAGCUACGGUCCAGUGCAGUGUGUUUGAGUGCUCUGUAAACUGGGGAUCCCUUUUAACAUCUGGCACCAGAGAGUUUUGUUUGUGGUAUUACAUCACAGUUUGGCUUUUUUUCUAUUGUCUUGUUUACCCCGUUGAUUAGGUGAUCAGGUGAUCAGGUGGGAUUUGGCAGUGCUAUGGCGAACAUUUUAGGCAGAAAUAUGUGCGCUCGCAUCACUCGUACCACCUGGGUGCUCAGCUGUGAGCCACAUGGGUGUAGUCAGGGGGGCGAGUGGAGCCCCCGAGCGCUAUUAAUACCAAAUCUAACUCACUUCUGUUUGACUGAUGUGUCGCCAUGGGCAUGGCAAGCUAGUCCACUCCACUUCCACUUCCACAGCCUGGCCUGAAGUUUAUUUUCAUAUGCUUCAUAUGCUCAGUUAGGCUAGACCAGGAUUGCUCCACACAGGAUUGAUUGGAUGAAACAUUGUGUGUACAGCAUGGAGAGGAUGUGCAUUUCAGAAGGCACGAUAUUAAUUUAACAUCUUAGGCAUUUUGCAGUCGGUGAAACGGCAGAAUACUUGAAAAA